CUGCUCAAUGCAAUUUGUAAAUAGCCGCAGUAUUCUGACUGUGCUAAGGUAGCAUAAUCAUUAGUCUUUUAAUUGAAGGCUGGUAUGAAUGGUGAGACGAGAAAGCAGCUGUCUCUAAUAUAAGUUUUUGAAUUUCAUUUCUUAGUGAAAAAGCUAAGAUAAUUUUGAAGGACGAUCAGACCCUAUGGAGCUUUAUUUAUUUAGAAAACCUAAGUUUGUUUUAGCAUGAUUGGGAAACUAGUAAAUUUUGUUGGGGCGACAGAGAGUUGAAAAUAACACUCUUUUUAUAAAACAAUAGUAUUUGAAUAAUUGAUCCUUUUUGCAAGAUUAAAAGACUAAGUUACCCUAGGGAUAACAGCGUAAUCUUUUUGGAGAGUUCUAAUCGAUAAAAAGGUUUGCGACCUCGAUGUUGGAUUAAGAGAUUAACAAGGUGCAGAAGUUUUGUUGGAGAGUCUGUUCGACUCU
rnacentral:rRNA from 1 species